GUUUAACACAUUGACACAUGUUUUGCUUUGUUCUGUUUUGUUUUAUUUCCCAACAGCCACACCUGAACCUUUCAUGCUCCCCUGUCUUUUGUUUGUGUUUCUUCUUCUUCCUUUUCUCUCUCUCACCUCUUCUUCUUCUCCAUCUCUGCCUUAGCCACCACAGCCACACUUUGUUCCCCAAAACCAAACCCGACAAAGUUAACGCCUUUCCCUCUGUCUCGAACCAGAAACCUUUUCGUGACCCUUGCAUGUGUUGCGAUGCUCAUCCCAGAAAUAAAUAACCAUGAAAGCAAGACUCAAUAAAGUUGAUUGUUGGUUUAUUUAUGUGAUUGGGGUUAUACGCCUGGCUAAGAAGAGAUGCGCUCCUCUAAUGCUCCGUUUGGCAUGGCACUCUGCUGGAACCUUUGUGACAUGGGUCAGAUAUAUCUAUACUAUUUACCUUAUUUCUGCUUAAUCAGUAUUAUUGUUGUUGCAAUUGUUGUUCCUGCUCAAUGUUAUCGUGUUCUAAUUUAUGUUAUAAACUUAUAAUACUCUUCUAUGUGUGUGUUUUGGUCAUAAUGUUUGUGUGCAAUGAAUGAGUUAUUAUUGACAAAAUAAAAAUGACAUCCAUGUUCGUCUGAGGCUCAAAUUUCCUAUUAUGUCAUACUGUUCCUUAUAUGCUAAUUAUUUUUUCAACAAUAUUUAUCAAAGUUACAUUUGACUUUUCUGUGAUUAUGAAAAAAGUAAACUUAUCAGAAUCCUGCGAUAUAUCAAAUUAUGGUACAUAUGAUCGGUUGGCUCAAAACAACAUCAUCCUUAUUUUACAAAAAAAAGUGUUAAAAAAAUACAGUCAUGCAGGAUUACAUUAUUUUUUUAAAAAAAAUUGGUGUAUAUGUACUUCCCUUAUGGUAUGAUUAAAAAAUAUCAUAUCAUAUUCACUAGGUCAUAUGCAAACUGAAAAUAAAACUGGAUCUUCAAUUCCCCACGAUAUCAAGAAUUCUAGAAAUUGGGCUGAUAGUCAUAUCCAGUAUCCAAAGAAAACUGGACCUUCUGAUUUUAACAAAAAUUCUUCAAUUACUUCCCACCUAUUCACUUGACCACUAUUUAUUCCACUUCUUAACAACAGUACUAAACUGAAAUGAAUUAUCAAAUCAACCAUCAGUGAUAGCAUUGGGAAUAGGUAUACAUUAAACAUUACACUCUACAAAAUACUACAACUUAUUUUCCCCUACAAACUCUGUUUCACUUUUAUUAGUGCAAACUCCAGUUUUACACCAUUAAGAAAAUGAAGAGCACAUCUUCAACGGGAUCAAAUGAGGUAAUUCGUUCCUAUUCUGCUCUUUACAACACAAUUUUUUUGGCUCCUUUCCUUCAAUAUCAACACUUAAACUACUAAAAUUAUAAUCUUUCUAUGAUUGCAGAUAAAAUCUGUCAUUAUCAAGCCGCCUUUGAUCUUACAGUUUAUCGCUGCCUUUAGCAAUGACAAAAACAUCAUCCCUGUUCCAGCGUUCUACCAUACACAAUGGGCACCACAGUAUCUAGAGUUCGUUCAUCUAAGAUAUAAUGGAGCAAUCUACAAAAUACAGGUCAGGCGCCACAAAGAAAGAGUCUAUUUGGCAGAUGGAUUGGAAAAUUUCAGGAAACAAUUGGGAAUCUAUGAAUCAACAACCAUUCAGUUUUUUGCUUGUGAUCAUCACUCCCCCUUUGACAUACAUUUCAUACCAACCCUGGAGCGGCAAACUUGUGGCAGGCAGAGACAUUCAUCCAGAAAGCAUAUGUGGACUAUUUAGUUUACUCAGGAAAUGGUCGGUGCUCCUGAACCUCUGCAGCAACCUAAUACAAUGACUAUUAUUGUCCCUCAGCAUCCACAGCAAGGACGAGAGAUUGCCAAAUGCAGAAAUUGGAGAAAGAAGGGCAAAAUGUAGUUUUGAGGUCUCAAUAUGAGAAGUUUAAGCCACGAGCUAAUAUUUAUGUGGUGGACACUUUGGGUACAACUUCUUUUCUUUUCACUGACAUGAAAUGCUAUCAUACCUGAAAAUCCACUUCUACUGAGAAUGGAGACCAUGGAUUUCUAGAGCUGUUGAGUUUGCUCCUCAUUCUUUGCUACAAUUCACCAUCUUCAUCAUCACUUGUCAUUCUUUUAUAGUUAUCAAGAUCAUUUUAACUCAGGUUUACUCAUGGGAGGAUUGGUGAAGUAUCCUAACCUUCUUAGUUUUAUUUGCAAAUUUGCAAUUUCAUGUUGAUUGUUAUCAUCCAUGGAACUAUCCUUUCAAGGCUAUUACUAAUUAUUGGGUAAAGGGUACCUAGGCGGAUGGAAUUAUUAGGCUUAUUAGGGAUAUCAUCCAUGACAUUUACUGUCAUCCAUCUUCUUUGGCAGGUGAUUGGGGGUUCAUUACUCCCUGGUUGGUCUGGCCACAAUAUCUCAGAAGCUGCAGCAGCUGGCUGUGCUGUUUUGACAGGUCAAUGUUGAAUAAUGCAAUUCUCAAAUUUCAACGUGUUUAGGUUGGAACUCAUAGUUGAUUUCAGGUUUUCCCGUUGGGCAUUUCUCCCACAUGGUACUGGAAAUGCAACGAUCAAAUCCUUUGUCAGUUCUUCAGUUUACUUGUAGGUUUCUGGAAAACUGGAGCUUGAACACGCUCUCAUUGAGCUCUUCACCAAUGCAACACUUCAAGCAUGCGAGGAAUCCAAGAGUCCAAGACUAUGAGAAAUGAAGUUUAAUAUUGUCACAACAAAUUUUCAUUCAGACUCGAUCCAUUUAUUGGAUUCAUUUACCCUGCGAUAGAAGCACACCCAUAUUUACAACCCCAUUUCACAGUAAUGGUGGUUUGAUAUAUUAUUUUAACAGCAUUCUGUUAUGAUCAAGCACAAAGUUCCUAGAAUUCGAGGUCUAGGGCCUCCAGAGCAACAAAAGGGAGAAGGGAAAUAGUUUGUAUUAUUUUCUGCUUAUCUGUUGAAUUACAUUCUUCUAUUUAUAAGCUAUCUAUGAUCAUUCUAGAAUUUAAUUCUAACAGAUUUUGCCUUCUUCUGAGCCUUGGAGGAAUUGAGAAAUUGAGAAAUGCACUGCGUGAUUGCCUUGGGGACGAGGUACAGCUUUUCUAACGGCAAUUUUCUAGAAUCCUUGCUGACGUGGCUGCUGUCAUUUGGGUGUAUAGUCAUCCAGGUACCUUGGUCUGAUGAUUCUCCUUUUUGCCCCUGCUUCUUCUUCUUCCUUAUGUUGCUCUGUUCUUGGUGUUGGUUCUGUGUUCAUAACACAUUCCAUCAAUCUACUCGUUAGCUUUCUAAUAUUCUCGGAUAUUACCUAACAUCAAAAGCUUGAAGAGUAUAGUUGCCAGAUUCUUCUUUUAUUAAGUGUUGUUACAAACUUUUACUUUGGGUCGGACUUUGGCAAGUAUGUGUUUCAAAUCGUUGAAUUUAGCUCGUGGACAAUCAUCUCCCGGCCAUACAGUAGGCUCUUGUAGGUGGCUUUGAAUAUUGUGAUUCAUACUAUGGAGUUGUUAUUUGCAUAAUCAUAUUAUAUCACGUCAUAAUCUA